CGGUAACAGCUCAAAUUUGAAAUCUGACCUUUCCGGGUCCGAGUUGUAAUUUGUAGAGGAUGUUUCGGAUAAGGCUUUGGUUUAAGUUUCUUGGAACAGAACGUCAUAGAGGGUGAGAAUCCCGUAUGUGACUGGCCGCCUUCGCCUAUGUGAAGCUCUUUCGAC
rnacentral:rRNA from 1 species